GGCGUAAUAGCCAAGCGGUAAGGCACGGGCCUGCAAAGCCUUGACCCCCGGUUCAAAUCCGGGUUACGCCUCCA
rnacentral:tRNA from 1 species